GAGGGAGAAGAGAAGAAAAGAAGAAGAAGAGGGAAAAGAGAGGGAAGAGGGAGAGGAGCGAGAGGUGGCAGCAGCUAGGGCUGCAGCACCUCUGUUUCCUGCAGGUGGAAACAGAGGAGAGGUGUGCGGCGUUCGAAGAGGAGAAGAAGAAGAAGAGGAAGAGAAGAAGAAGAGGCUGUGAUACCUCUGUUUCCUACAGAGGAAACAGAGGAGAGGGUGUGUGUGACGCCGGGGAGGAGGAGGGAAGAAGAAGAGGAGAAGAAGAGAAGGGAAAGGAGGAGCUGCGGUUGCGGCGGUGGCAGCUGCAGCUGGAAGAGAAGGAGAGGAAGAGAACGUGAGGAAGAAGAGAAGAAGAAGAAAGGAAGUAGAAGGAAGAGGAGAAGGGAAAGAAGCAGCUGCGGCUGCGACUGUGGCAGCUGCAGCUGUGGCAGGGAAAGAGAAAGAGGAAGGAAGAAGGGAAGGAGAGGAAGAAGAGAAGGGGAAGAAGGGGCUGCGGCUGCGGCGAU
rnacentral:lncRNA from 1 species